rnacentral:pre_miRNA from 1 species
AUAACAUUUGGGCCGUCUUUCUAUCAAGCAAUCACACUGCUUGGUAGAAGAUCUUCGCUUUGUCAC